AAAACUCACUCCGAGGAUACGGUAUUAGUAGUCAUGGGUAGGGGAGCUGCCCAUACGGGUUGAAGCAGGACCGUAAGGACAUGUGGACAGUAUGGGAGUGAGAAUGUUGGCAUGAGUAGCGGGAUGUGGGUGGGAAUCCCACAGGCCGUAAACCCAAGGUUUCCAGGGGAAGGUUCGUCCGCCCUGGGUUAGUCGGGACCUAAGCUGAGGCCGAAAGGCGUAGGUGAUGGACAACAGGUUGAUAUUCCUGUACUACCGAUAACCGUUUGAGAGAAGGGAUGACACAGUAGGAUAAGCUAAGCACA
rnacentral:rRNA from 1 species